rnacentral:lncRNA from 1 species
GUUUUUUCAGAGUGCUGAUUUGAGGGAAUUGGGUGCAGAUCUCAUUCAAGUAAUCAUUCUCCAAUACCACUCGUGUUACCUGCCAAAAAUGAAAGUGGCAUAUGAAUCACAAUAAUCCACUCAUUAAUUUGUGGAUUCAGAGCCUGCCAAGGAACAUCAGAAAUCCACACGAUGUCCCUGAGUUUUAGGGACUUUGAAAGAAUAGUGAAAGUGGUGAAUCUGCCAGUUGUAACUAUGUCGGAGGCCCUUCCUGAGGUGCCCCUUCUUGAGUGUUACUGUGACCUAAUGACUUGGAGAUACACUUUUGCUUGAGAAGAGCUAUUGGAUCCUCUGCCUGGUACCUCAGCCCAUUCAGCUUCUCUCCGAGGUGAUAACUACUAGAGAUGCUCCACAUCUUCCUUACAGAAGAUCUUUUUAUUACCUAAAAAAGUAAACUGCAUCCUGUAGCUAUCCUCUUAAAACUUCUGCUUUACGGAAUAGAGAAUGAACUUGUUACAGAUGCAUCAGCGACAUCAAACUUGCUUCUGUUUUGCCUGAUUGCCCUCUCAGCCUUCUGACAAUCUGAAACUUUCAUUUUGGAUGGGAUUGAAGGAGUUGUGUUAGUAUCUGUGUAACCCCUUUUCCUAUACAUUAUCUGCUCUUCUCUUCUCCUUCUCCUUGGUGUCUGGUUUGUCUUGGCUGCUUUUUAAAAUUCUGUUGCCUCUAGUGAGGAACUGCCAGAUUAAACCAGUGAAGAGAAACCAGGUGACUGUCUCUACUUUUACAAAUAUAGGUUAUGUAUAAUAAAUUCAUGUUUUACAUCUAUGCA